GAAAUGCGAUAAGUAGUGUGAAUUGCAGAAUUCCGUGAAUCAUCGAAUCUUUGAACGCACAUUGCGCCUCCUGGUAGUCCGUGAGGCAUGCCUGUUCGAGCGUCACUAAAAUCAACUCAACCACUUUUGUGUUUGGUCAUGGAGGAAGAGUCCGUCUUGUUGUGGUCUCCCCUCCCAAAAUCAACGGCGGAAGGUUGCUGGUACUCGGCGUAGUAGUAUUAUUCGCCCAUUAUCCAGUGUUGUUCCUGCCACCAAAUACCCACAAUUCUCUUGAUUGACCUCGGAUCAGGUAGGGAUACCCGCUGAACUUAA
rnacentral:misc_RNA from 1 species